rnacentral:lncRNA from 1 species
AUGGACUGGACCGGGAGGAUCCUCCUCUUGGUGGCAGCAGCCACAGGGAAGAGAAUCCUAAGUCCAAUCGGUGCAGUCUGGGGCUGAGGUGAGGAAACCUGGGUCCUCAGUGAAGGUGAUCCCAGAUACACCUUCACCUUCCACUACAUACACUGGGGGCGACAGGCCCCUGGAAAAGGGCUUGAGUGGAUGGAACGUGUUGAUCCUGAAGAUGGUGAAACAAUAUAUGCACAGAAUUCCAGGGCAGAGUCACCACGACCUGGGACAUGUCUACAGACACAGCCUACAUGGAGCUGAGCAGCCUGAGAUCUGAGGACACAGCCGUAUAUUAAUGUGCAAGACA